rnacentral:tRNA from 3 species
GGGCGAUUGGCUCAGCGGUAGAGCGCUUCGUUCACACCGAAGAGGUCACUGGUUCGAUCCCAGUAUCGCCCACCC